ensembl:lncRNA
CUACAGUACUACAGUACUACAGAUAAUGCAUAUACUACAGUGCUACAGAUACUACAGAUUCUACAGUACUACAGAUACUACAGUACUACAGAUUCUACAGUACUACAGAUUCUACAAUACUACAGUACUACAGAUUCUACAAUACUACAGUACUACAGAUACUACAGUACUACAGAUUCUACAAUACUACAGUACUACAGAUUCUACAGUACUACAGAUUCUACAAUACUACAGUACUACCGAUUCUACAAUACUACAGUACUACAGAUACUACAGUACUACAGAUUCUACAGUACUACAGAUACUACAGUACUACAAUACUACAGAUAAUACAUAUACUACAGAUACUACAGUACUACAGAUAAUGCAUAUACUACAGUGCUACAGAUACUACAGAUUCUACAGUACUACAGAUACUACAGUACUACAGAUUCUACAGUACUACAGAUUCUACAAUACUACAGUACUACAGAUUCUACGAUACUACAGUACUACAGAUUCUACAGUACUACAGAUACUACAGUACAAUGCAUUUGUUCUUAUUUCUUUCUGUUAUUAUAUAUCUUAAAGAUUCUUUUGAAAAAAUGAAAAAAUAUAUAUAUAAUAAUUGAUGCAACUACUCGAUGUUGGGGGACUAUUUCAAACAUAUCAUUAUGUUUUCUAACAGUGUUUAACAAUGUUGUAGACUGAGCUGUUAGUGAACACAGCCCUAUCAACUGAAUGGCAAUCUUCUCCACACUGUGGAAACUCUUACAGUAGUGCCUGAACUCCUCCUUGACAUUUCAAGUUAGCUAGAUAUAUAUGAAAACUCAAUCAGUCAGUCUAGACGGGAGAGGGUAUUAAUAGAAUAUGAAAAGUAGACAUUAUGUAGAAUUUCAAGAUAUUGUAAAAACACGCAAUAAUGACAACAACAAAAAAGUGUACUUCUAAUCUAAAACAGAACAGAUUAAUGUUAAGAUAACACUUUGUUUUGGGAUGUAUGCUAGAAUGGAUAGGGGCAACAAAAAAAUGCUGCCCCUUAUACUUAUAGCCACUCGAAACUAGCAAACGUCCAGAUUCAGAUUUGAAAUGUGUUUUCAUUGGCCAUUCCUUUGCGUGGGCGGAGCAGAUGAGCAAAUGGACCCUUGUGAUUGGAGGGCAGGCCGUUGGUAGUGUUACUGUUCGUUAGCCCAUGUUACUAGGCAGAUGAAGGAAGGACGGAGAGAAAAGAAAGGGUGGAGAGAUUGUCUCCUUGCUGUGUCUGUCACACAGACAGAUCCAGAACAAAGUCUCUCGCCCCGUGAUGAUGUCACUUCCUGGUUGGUGAUGUCACUUCCUGGUUGGUGAUGUCACGUCCUGGUUGGCGAUGACACUGCGUCGGAAAGGCACAGCCAGAGGGGGGAUGUACAUCCCAGAGGCCGAGCAGUCCGUCAUCUUGUAUGAUUUGUCUGAUUUAUAAACCCCGGUCUAGCACUUCACACCCCCCUCUGUCACCCUCCCCAGUUCUCCCUUCCUGCCCCAAUCCCCAGACCCUGCAAGGCUCCAGAGAUGCAAUUUUAACAUUCACUUCUACCAAUGUGCCUUUCAGAGUUCAUAUCAUUCAAAUGCGAUGAGGAGGAAACGGACGUUAUCUGAACUUUUUAGGAUUCAAGCUUAGGGAACUGUUAGUUAUUAGGUCUAUGCAGUCAGGUUUUUUCCGACCUGGGAAUUAAAAAAAGAAAAGAAAAACAGUCAAAAGAAAAAAAAAGUAUUUUUGGGAUAAACUGUAUUUAAUUGUACUGUAUGCUUAUAUGUAAUUAGAUGACGUGUCCCUGAACAGACCUUGUUUUAGUCAGUUGAGCCCCCUGGCGGCCCCAGCACCCCGAGUUUCAGACCCCUUCUUGUAUUAUUCCAAGUUUCAGCCUGUUUCCAUAGUGACCUACACGUCUGUUAUUGAGCAUUGUAUUAUAGCUAUCAGCUUUUUAUCAAUAUCGGCUUGUCCGUGAGCCCCUGUAGUCUUCAGUACCAGUGUGUGGUUGUAUGUGUAAAACAGAACCUUCUUCCUCUUUUUUAAAUCUUUCUCUUAUUCUUUGUCUGUUCUGGUUUCUCCGUUGAUGAAAAAAGUACUAAACCACAACUUGCUGCCCUAUGGAGAUUGGACAGCAGCUGUUUUUAAAUGUGGUUUGCAUUAUCCAAUCAACGCAAAGGCACUGAAACUGGAAAAUAAUCUAUUUGAAAAAUCAAUAUAUAUAAAUGUAAAAAUAUAUACAAUAUAUAAAUAAGGAAGGUGCCAGUUUUCAAAGGAGAGGUUGUUUUGGUGGUGAUUAAUCAUUUUCUCAGAGAUGGGUAGAAGGUUUGAAGAGGCAUCUCAGUGUUACUUUAAAGAGACAAUACGCGUUCUUCUCUAGCAGGGCCGUGACAUCACAAUGACUGACUAUGGCGUCCCUGACUGGACAAAAGGGACCGGUUUUCUCUGCCGUGCCGUGACAUCACAAUGACUGACUAUGGCGUCCCUGACUGGACAAAAGGGACCGGUUUUCUCUGGCGGGCCGUGACAUCACAAUGACUGACUCUGGCAUCCCUGACUGGACAAAAGGGACCGGUCUUCUCUGGCGGGACCGUGACAUCACAAUGACUGACUAUGGCAUCCCUGAUGGGACAAAAGGGACCGGAGUUACAACAUGCUCCACUCACUGCUAUUCAGCCUUUCAAAGGAAAUGCAGACAUUUGUCAAUUGUAUGCAACAAAUGCAAACUGACGAUUAUUUUGAAAUUGUGUAUGUAAAAGUUAUAUUUUUACAUGUAGGCUGUUGUUAUUUUGUGUUUAGAUAAUACGUUGUGUUAGUUUUUUGUUAAAAGAUGAAAAAGUAAAAUUCAGUGUUGAAAACAUGUCACAUUGAAAAUGUAGUGAGGUCAAAAGUUUCAAUAUCAUAAUUUUUUUGUUUUUUUCAGCAUUUUGUUUGUUUAUAUCAAGAAGGUAUAUAAUAUUAUUUUCAUGCUCCAUGCUCAUUGCCAUUUUUUCAUUGUAUUUUUCAUUGUAUUUUUGAAGAAAUAAUGUAUAAAUAAGUCAUAAUACACAGGGUUCAUGACCUUUUGGUUGGGGGUGCUGGUGGUGAAUAGCUGAAAGUGGGAGAGAAUUGAGUUGAUUUGAUCAGUUGUAUUCUGCUUGUAAUUGUCUGGUUAUUCUAGCCAGGUGCCAAUAUUAAUUAAAUAUCAAUGGCACGUAACUGUAUGUGUGUCAUGGCUUCUCAAC